UGAGACGCAAAUUAGCGGCAUCUCCAAAUUAAGCCUCAUGUCGUUCCACGAACGUAGCUCAGCUGUAACUAAUCGAGGCUUAUUCAAGGCAGACUUGCAUAGUCUCACUUUGUGCGCGCGCCCGCGAUAUUUAAAAAGCCCAAAAGAAUGGAUGAACGAAACAUAGAUCCGAAAUGAGCCAGACGGUGAAAACGCGGGCAGUUUUGUUCUCCGCUGCUGAGCAAACGCUGCUCUUGGACCUGUAUGAGGAAUAUGCAGACACAAUAAAUAAAAAAGGGAACACCGUUGCAAUUAAUAAAGCCAGGGAAAAGGCGUGGCAAAAUAUUGCGGACAGACUUAAUUCAAGCAAUCUAAGUGGGCAGCGAAGAACCUGGCAGCAACUAAAACCUAAAUAUAAAAAUAUCUUCCAUAAUGCUGCCAAGAAAAAGAGGCAGGCAACUGCUACUGGUGGGGGGCCUCCACCUGAAGACCUCACACCAGCAGAGGAGCUGGCACUGAGCCUUAAUCGAGGUCGACCUCAGGAGGGAAUAGAAGGUGGGGUAUCAACAGAGAUCAUCCCCUCAGGUGUCCGGGAGAAAUAUGUACAAGUUUGAUGGCCCCAGUACAUCCAGGGCUGUUGAUGAAGAGACAGUGUCUGCAGACACCGAUAUUCAGGAGGAUGUGCCCACACCACCGUCCCCGUCAGCAAAGAGUGAACUUCAAGCAAAGGAUGAUUGACAUGUCUGUUCUGAAUCUGUCCAAUUAGGAAUAAUUGGACAGAUUCAGAACAGUGACGGCAGGAGGCAGAGUUGUGAAACAGCACCACCAGCUGGUGAUGUAAUACAUUGACAUUUUUGCACCUUAAAUAAAGUAUUCCAACUUGUUUAAAUUAGUUUGUUUUAUUUAUUUUAUUGGGAAAGUGUCCCAAAACAAUAUUUUACAUGA